AAUACAUAUAACGUUUUGUUUUAUAUCAUAGUAUGCAACUGUGGGACAAAUGCCGAAAGCUGUGCAUUUAAUCCUCAAGGAGAGAAAGUGUGCACAUGUAAACCAAACUAUGAAGAAAAAGAUGGAACUUGUGAAGUAUGCAACUGUGGGACAAAUGCCGAAAGCUGUGCAUUUAAUCCUCAAGGAGAGAAAGUGUGCACAUGUAAACCAAACUAUGAA